rnacentral:misc_RNA from 1 species
AGAGUUAAACAGUACGUGAAAUUGUUGAAAGGGAAACGAUUGAAGUCAGUCAUACCGAUGGGCAUUCAGCUCCUCGGGUGCGAUUACGUGAGUGUUGGGGAGCCUAACGGUCCUCGCGCGUGCGCAUUCGUGCUUCUCGGGUGUACUUGCCCGUAUGGUAGGUCAACAUCAAUUCUGGUCGUCAUAAAAUGACGGGGGGAAUGUGGCUUUGAUCUCGUAUCGAAGUGUUAUAGCCCCUGGUAGAUGUGACGAACGGGAUUGAGGAUUGCAGCGGACCCUUCGGGGCCACCCGCCUGAUCUCUGAUGGUCACUCUGGUGCCGAAAGCUUGCUUACGGUCGUCAAAGUUGGACAUCAAAAGGUUAGAACGGGUUGAAUUCGUUAAGGAUGUUGACGUAAUGGCUUUAAACGA